rnacentral:snoRNA from 1 species
GGUGGCAAGUGAUGAAGAAAUUAAUUAUAUGCUAGACACUGAAUCAUAUGUGUCGACAAUAAACUCCGCUUAUUAUCUGAUGCCACA